GUGGGCACAGAAGACACCCUUGCCCUCCGACUCUGAAAAGCCCCUAAGACCAGAUCCCACUUAAUCUCUUUUCUCCUAAGGUCACCUGGUGUUCAGGAAAGAACUUCGGAGUGUCCCAGGCGCUGCCCCCAUGGGGGCCUCACCCAGUUGAGGUCCCCAUCCCAUCAUCUUAAGAGGAACACCACAGGUUAACCCAAGCGCUGCCUCUAGGCAGGAGAUCUGCAGACACCUGGUCUGCAUGGAACCUGGAGCACUAAUCCAUAAGUGGAGCCUGGGAAGGGGACCUUGUCCUAUCCCAGGACAGAGGAGAAAGCAAGUGCAGCAGUGGCCAAGAGCUGUCCUGGGCCUCCUGACAACUGAGGAGCUGGAUGCAGCGGGGCUCUUCUCAGCCCUGAGUCAGAGGUGAAGACUCUUCCGCCAUCCUGUCAUCAGAUUCGUUCUCCUAACAAGCUCGCAUCCUGGGCAGAGCUUGUUCGUGUGAUGCCCACUUUAGAGGUAGAGCUGGGAGAGAACAAGGUGUUCCCCCAGGGCUCCUUCGCCUGGGAAUCCAGCUCCUCCAGCUGGAGCCCCGAUGCUCUGAAGCUAGAGCCUCACUUUCUCCCAUCAAACUCUGGCUCUGCCCCUUCCCAGCUCUGGGAUUUUGGUCAAAUUCCUUGCCUUCUCUGUGCUGAAGUUCCCCUAUCUAAACAAUGGGGAUUGUUAUGAAGGCUAAAUGAAAUAAACAUGCAGCA
rnacentral:lncRNA from 1 species